rnacentral:rRNA from 1 species
UACAGAGGUGGCAAGCGUUGUUCGGAAUUACUGGGCGUAAAGCGUGCGUAGGCGGCUGAGAAAGUUGGGUGUGAAAUCCCUCGGCUCAACCGAGGAAUUGCGCUCAAAACUACUUGGCUUGAGGGAGUUAGAGGUGAGCGGAACUAAUGGUGGAGCGGUGAAAUGCGUUGAUAUCAUUAGGAACACCGGUGGCGAAAGCGGCUCACUGGGACUCUUCUGACGCUGAGGCACGAAAGCUAGGGUAGCGAACGGG